rnacentral:misc_RNA from 1 species
AAAGUCGUAACAAGGUCUCCGUUGGUGAACCAGCGGAGGGAUCAUUACCGAGUUUUCACACUCAGACCCGACGCGAACCUGAAACCGUUGCUUCGGCGGGCUGCCGGCAUCGCCGCGCCCGCCGAAGGUAUACCAUAGCUCUCUGUGUACCGUCCUCUGAAUACGCUUCUAAACUAGUCAAAACUUUCAACAACGGAUCUCUUGGUUCUG